rnacentral:rRNA from 1 species
UGGGCGUAAGGGCUCGCAGGCGGUUUCUUAAGUCUGAUGUGAAAGCCCCCGGCUCAACCGGGGAGGGUCAUUGGAAACUGGGAAACUUGAGUGCACAAGAGGAGAGUGGAAUUCCACGUGUAGCGGUGAAAUGCGUAGAGAUGUGGAGGAACACCAGUGGCGAAGGCGACUCUCUGGUCUGUAACUGACGCUGAGGAGCGAAAGCGUGGGGAGCGAACAGGAUUAGAUACCCUGGUAGUCCACGCCGUAAACGAUGAGUGCUAAGUGUUAGGGGGUUUCCGCCCCUUAGUGCUGCAGCUAACGCAUUAAGCACUCCGCCUGGGGAGUACGGUCGCAAGACUGAAACUCAAAGGAAUUGACGGGGGCCCGCACAAGCGGUGGAGCAUGUGGUUUAAUUCGAAGCAACGCGAAGAACCUUACCAGGUCUUGACAUCCUCUGACAGCGGUAGAGAUAGGGCUUUCCCUUCGGGGACAGAGUGACAGGUGGUGCAUGGUUGUCGUCAGCUCGUGUCGUGAGAUGUUGGGUUAAGUCCCGC